rfam:Nematostella vectensis strain CH2 x CH6 NEMVEscaffold_231_Cont19843, whole genome shotgun sequence.
UAUCUGGUUGAUCCUGCCAGUAGUCAUAUGCUUGUCUCAAAGAUUAAGCCAUGCAUGUCUAAGUAUAAGCACUUGUACUGUGAAACUGCGAAUGGCUCAUUAAAUCAGUUAUCGUUUAUUUGAUUGUACCUUUACCACUUGGAUAACCGUGGUAAUUCUAGAGCUAAUACAUGCGAAAAGUCCCGACUUCUGGAAGGGAUGUAUUUAUUAGAUUCAAAACCAAUGCGGGUUCUGCCCGGUCAUUUGGUGAUUCAUAGUAACUGUUCGAAUCGCAGGGCCGCGCGCCGGCGAUGUUUCAUUCAAAUUUCUGCCCUAUCAACUGUCGAUGGUAAGGUGUUGGCUUACCAUGGUUACAACGGGUGACGGAGAAUUAGGGUUCGAUUCCGGAGAGGGAGCCUGAGAAACGGCUACCACAUCCAAGGAAGGCAGCAGGCGCGCAAAUUAC